rnacentral:rRNA from 1 species
UAUCUCUGUAGAGUCUGCAUAUCAAUAAGCGGAGGAAAAGAAACUAACAAGGAUUCCCCUAGUAACGGCGAGUGAAGCGGGAAGAGCUCAAAUUUGAAGUCUUCAAGGUUUUACCUUGACGAAUUGUAGUUUAAAGAAGUGUUUUCUGUUGAAGUUUCGGUAAAAGUUCUUUGGAAUAGGACAUCAUAGAGGGUGAGAAUCCCGUAUUUGACCGUUAUUUUCAGCUGUGUGAUACACUUUCAAAGAGUCGGAUUGUUUGGGAAUGCAGUCCAAAAUGGGUGGUAAAUUUCAUCUAAAGCUAAAUAUUGGCGAGAGACCGAUAGCGAACAAGUACCGUGAGGGAAAGAUGAAGAGAACUUUGAAAAGAGAGUUAAACAGUACGUGAAAUUGUCAAAAGGGAAGCGUUUGACACCAGUGUUGUUUUCUCGAAAAUCAAUUAAAAAAGGCAGGAUUUUGUGUUGUAUUGACUUUAUCAGCUUCCUGCACUCUUUUCUUGUCUUUUUUUAAUGCACUUUUCGUUUAACAAGUCAACAUCAAUUUCUUUUGUUGUAAAAGGGUCAUUGGAAGGUGGCUUUCUUUUCGGAGAAAGUGUUUAUAGCCUUUGGCCUCUGCAAUCGGAGAGAUUGAGGUCUGCAGCGUAGAUCCUUCGGGGUUAGAUACACUUUGUGCUAAGUUAGUAGCCUUUCAUAGACAACUUGUUGACUAUGAUCAGUCAUGUAGCUUACUCGCUAAUGCUAUUUUACCUACGCUUAGGAUGUUGAUAGUCACAGCGUGUAC